UACAUACCACUCAGUCAAUGAUGCCACAACAUUUAGCACCAAGAAUGCAAGAAUGGAGUCAUGAACAUAAUUCAAGUGUGGAUCAACACCAACAUGAAUCAGCCUGGACAGCCAGUGACAAUGGAAGCUGGACAGAUACCCAAAGACAAAAUUGUAAGUAAUGUUAAAUUGGGUACUCCAUCCCAAAAAUUUUAUUUUCUCAUUAUUUACUCAACCUCCUGCCA